rfam:Salmo salar isolate Sally breed double haploid chromosome ssa18, whole genome shotgun sequence.
CCCGUGGUGGCUCAGUUGGUAGAGCAUGGUGUUUGCAAUGCCAGGGUUGUGGGUUCGAUUCCCAAGGGG